rnacentral:rRNA from 1 species
GUGAGGAAUAUUGCGCAAUGGAGGCAACUCUGACGCAGCCAUGCCGCGUGCAGGAAGAAGGCGCUACGCGUUGUAAACUGCUUUUAACCGGGAAGAAACCCCAGGACGUGUCCUGGGUUGACGGUACCGGAGGUAUAAGCACCGGCUAACUUCGUGCCAGCAGCCGCGGUAAUACGAAGGGUGCAAGCGUUAUCCGGAUUCAUUGGGUUUAAAGGGUGCGUAGGCGGAGCGUUAAGUCAGUGGUGAAAUCCUGCAGCUUAACUGUAGACUUGCCAUUGAUACUGGCGCUCUUGAGUGCGCUUGAAGUGGGCGGAAUGUGCCGUGUAGCGGUGAAAUGCUUAGAUAUGGCACAGAACACCAAUUGCGAAGGCAGCUCACUAAGGCGAUACUGACGCUGAGGCACGAAAGCGUGGGGAUCGAACAGGAUUAGAAACCCGGGUAGUCC